UGGGGAAUAUUGCACAAUGGGGGAAACCCUGAUGCAGCGACGCCGCGUGAACGAAGAAGGUAUUCGGAUCGUAAAGUUCUGUCCUAUGGGAAGAUAAUGACAGUACCAUAGAAGAAAGCUCCGGCUAAAUACGUGCCAGCAGCCGCGGUAAUACGUAUGGAGCGAGCGUUGUCCGGAAUUAUUGGGCGUAAAGGGUACGCAGGCGGUUUAAUAAGUCGAAUGUUAAAGAUCGGGGCUCAACCCCGUAAAGCAUUGGAAACGGAUAAACUUGAGUAGUGGAGAGGAAAGUGGAAUUCCUAGUGUAGUGGUGAAAUACGUAGAUAUUAGGAGGAAUACCAGUAGCGAAGGCGACUUUCUGGACACAAACUGACGCUGAGGUACGAAAGCGUGGGGAGCAAACAGG
rnacentral:rRNA from 1 species